AUUGAACGCUGGCGGCAUGCCUUACACAUGCAAGUCGAACGGCAGCACGGGAGCAAUCCUGGUGGCGAGUGGCGAACGGGUGAGUAAUAUAUCGGAACGUGCCCAGUCGUGGGGAUAACGUAGCGAAAGCUACGCUAAUACCGCAUACGAUCUAUGGAUGAAAGCGGGGGAUCGCAAGACCUCGCGCGAUUGGAGCGGCCGAUAUCAGAUUAGGUAGUUGGUGAGGUAAAGGCUCACCAAGCCGACGAUCUGUAGCUGGUCUGAGAGGACGACCAGCCACACUGGGACUGAGACACGGCCCAGACUCCUACGGAGGCAGCAGUGGGAAUUUUUGGACAAUGGGCGCAAGCCUGAUCCAGCAAUGCCGCGUGCA
rnacentral:rRNA from 1 species